rnacentral:rRNA from 1 species
UACGUAGGGCGCAAGCGUUGUCCGGAAUUAUUGGGCGUAAAGAGCUCGUAGGCGGUCAGUCGCGUCUGCUGUGAAAACUCGAGGCUCAACCUCGGGCUUGCAGUGGGUACGGGCUGACUAGAGUGCGGUAGGGGUGACUGGAAUUCCUGGUGUAGCGGUGGAAUGCGCAGAUAUCAGGAGGAACACCGAUGGCGAAGGCAGGUCACUGGGCCGCAACUGACGCUGAGGAGCGAAAGCGUGGGGAGCGAACAGG